GAUGAGAAAAGCAAACGUCAAUGUGGACUGUGUGGUCUUACGGGUCAUUAUAAGUCCAUGUGCCCUCAAAAUCCUAAGUAUGAUUUUUAUGUUAUUGUAAAUCUUAUUGUUCAACCCGAAUUUAUUUGUUUAUUGUGAAUUAACACAUAUCUUACUGUUAUGUAGGAACUUUGUUUGAAUUGUGGAGUAUGGAAGAUUGCUAUGGAAGAUUGCUUCACCCUUUCAUUGGAGACAGUUAUUAAUGUUCUACAUAUGUGAUCUUUAAUAAUUGUUGAAAUAUGUUACAUGAACUUAUUUUACUUUGUUG
rnacentral:lncRNA from 1 species